rnacentral:rRNA from 1 species
CCUACGGGUGGCUGCAGUGGGGAAUAUUGGACAAUGGGGGCAACCCUGAUCCAGCCAUGCCGCGUGUGUGAAGAAGGUCCUCGGGUUGUAAAGCACUUUCAGUGAGGAAGAACGCCUGGUGGUUAAUACCCAUCAGGAAAGACAUCACUCACAGAAGAAGCACCGGCUAACUCCGUGCCAGCAGCCGCGGUAAUACGGAGGGUGCGAGCGUUAAUCGGAAUUACUGGGCGUAAAGCGCGCGUAGGUGGCUUGAUAAGCCGGUUGUGAAAGCCCCGGGCUCAACCUGGGAACGGCAUCCGGAACUGUCGAGCUAGAGUGCAGGAGAGGAAGGUAGAAUUCCCGGUGUAGCGGUGAAAUGCGUAGAGAUCGGGAGGAAUACCAGUGGCGAAGGCGGCCUUCUGGACUGACACUGACACUGAGGUGCGAAAGCGUGGGUAGCAAACAGGAUUAGAUACCCGUGUAGUC